AGAGUUUGAUCCUGGCUCAGGAUGAACGCUAGCGGCAGGCCUAAUACAUGCAAGUCGGACGGUCCCUUCGGGGAUAGUGGCGAACGGGUGCGUAACGCGUAAAUAACCUGCCCCAAACUGGGGGAUAGCCCGGCGAAAGCUGGGGUAAGCCCGCAUAGUCUUAUCGAGGUGGCAUCACCUUAUACGUAAAACCGCAAGGUGGUUUGGGAGGGAUUUGCGUCUGAUUAGCUAGUUGGCGGGGUAAUGGCCCACCAAGGCAAUGAUCAGUAGGGGCUCUGAGAGGAGGGUCCCCCACAUGGGCACUGAGACACGGGCCCAACUCCUACGGGAGGCAGCAGUAGGGAAUAUUGGGCAAUGGACGCAAGUCUGACCCAGCCAUGCCGCGUGCAGGAAGACGGCCCUCUGGGUUGUAAACUGCUUUUAUCAGGGAAGAAGAGCAGGCUUGCGAGCCUGUGUGACGGUACCUGAGGAAUAAGCACCGGCUAACUCCGUGCCAGCAGCCGCGGUAAUACGGAGGGUGCAAGCGUUGUCCGGAUUUAUUGGGUUUAAAGGGUGCGUAGGCGGGCAGGUAAGUCAGUGGUGAAAUCUCCAAGCUUAACUUGGAAACUGCCGUUGAUACUAUCUGUCUUGAAUACUGUGGAGGUGAGCGGAAUAUGUCAUGUAGCGGUGAAAUGCUUAGAUAUGACAUAGAACACCAAUUGCGAAGGCAGCUCACUACACAGCCAUUGACGCUGAGGCACGAAAGCGUGGGGAUCAAACAGGAUUAGAUACCCCGGUAGUCC
rnacentral:rRNA from 1 species